GGGAUGAUUGUGUACAUGAAUCGAACGUGAAAGAGAACCAGUCUGUUACCAGAUUGGCACCAUUCCAAGCACACGAAUCCAUAGGACGGCAGAUUACCCUAAAAUUACCCUAGUUUAUGCAUUACCCUAAACACUACCCUAAGAAGGGUUCAAUUACCCUAGUUUAGGGUAUUUUACCCUAAAAUGGAAGCACUGGCGACUAGUCAAUGGACGUCGUUGCCUGCUGGACGUUUUCCGUACGGUCGUGCUUUACCUGAGAGUGGGAAAGGAGCCACUUAAUGUCACUUCAUUAUUCUCCAUGGAUGCUUGCUUACUGAUGGCAUUCUCCUGAGUCUCUUGUGUGAGUCUGUGCACUUCACGAGAGGACUUGUGCAGGUCUUCCACCACCCCAGCCAGCACCUGCUCCACUGCUUCCUUGUACUCCACCUGACAGACAGAACAAGGCUGUCAUUGAAAACUUUUACUCUCCAUUACAAGUUAGAUGCCCUUGUCAGGGAAGUACUGCUUCCAGACAAGGUGGUCGCCCUGCACCUCAAACACCUCAACAUUGUCGUCCUCGCUGGCCACCGCCUCACACAGCUGCCCCAAGUAUUCCUCCGCUGACUUGCCCAGUUUGACACGC